GGAAUAUUGGACAAUGGGGGCAACCCUGAUCCAGCCAUGCCGCGUGAGUGAAGAAGGCCUUCGGGUUGUAAAGCUCUUUUAUCAGGGAAGAUGAUGACGGUACCUGAAGAAUAAGCACCGGCUAACUUCGUGCCAGCAGCCGCGGUAAUACGAAGGGUGCAAGCGUUGUUCGGAAUUACUGGGCGUAAAGGGCAUGUAGGCAGUUAUAUCAGUUAGGGGUGAAAUCCCAGGGCUUAACCUUGGAAUUGCCUUUAAGACGGUAUAGCUAGAGAGCUUGAAGGGAUAAUGGAAUACCCAGUGUAGAGGUGUAAUUCGUAGAUAUUGGGUAGAACACCAGUGGCGAAAGCGGUUAUCUGGCAAGCAACUGACGCUGAGAUGCGAAAGCGUGGGGAUCAAACA
rnacentral:rRNA from 1 species